rnacentral:rRNA from 1 species
GACGAAGCGUGCGAACGUUGUUCGGAAUCACUGGGCUUAAAGGGCGCGUAGGCGGGCCGGCCAGUCUGUGGUGAAAGCCCCCAGCUCAACUGGGGAAGUGCCGUGGAUACUGCCGGUCUGGAGGAGGGUAGGGGCAUCUGGAACGCUGGGUGGAGCGGUGAAAUGCGUUGAUAUCCAGCGGAACUCCGGUGGCGAAGGCGAGGUGCUGGACCCUUUCUGACGCUGAGGCGCGAAAGCCAGGGGAGCAAACGGG